UCCCCAGGGAGAGGUUGACCCUGCCAGGCUGGAACCUUCCAUUCCGGCCCAGCCUUUUCCCCCUUCUCUGCGCCCAGGAGGGAAUCGAGAAGGGACUUUCCAGAGAGCGUUAGCGUGCAGGGUGUGGAAAUGGAAUAAAAGCAUAUGCAAAUAGGCCCUUGCGUGCCUUCCUCUACCCCUGCGAGCAAGAGCCUUUCUCCAGAAAGAUGUUCUUGCUCCAAGACACUUGACAGCGCUCUUCCUUCCCUGGACGGCGGCAGCAGGGCCGAGUGAAGUGGUAACACCCGGGCAGCGGCAACGCCUGGGUGGGCCGGGUGGACAGGAGGGAGUAGCAAACAGAGGAGGGGAAGAACGGCCGCUGAGUUGGAAAGACAAAGUAAAACGAAAUUUUAGGAGCUCGCUAUGAAUACACUUUACCACGAAGGAAUGAAGAGCUAUGGGCGGGGUUCUGGCAAGUGGUGAGAGAGAUACUGUCGGUUCUUUCAAAUCGCACCAUGACCAAAUCCUCUUUGCCUUUGAUAGGGACGAGCUAUCUGGCUCUGAUGUGGGAGACAGGGUCCAGAACAGGGAAGACAGAAGACAGAAAGCAGAUUAGCGAUUGCUCAGAACUGGGGUUGUAGGGGAAGGAAGAAUUGGAAGAUGACAGUGUGAUACGUCAUCUUGUCAGCUUGCGUGCCGCUCACUUUUGAUCUGUUUGAAAUGCUUGCCUGGGGCCAUCCGUGGGAAAUCGUCUAGUCUGACCCAUCCUGUCCCCAUCUCUACACCAGUGGUUUUGAGCACUUUGGGGUCAUGUGUCCCAUUGAUACUAUGAUAAAAGGUACGCUUCCAUUCUCCCAACAAAAUGUCGGUGCUGGCUACUGGGGGUAUGGAGCAAAUAAGGAAGACACGGUUCCUAAUCCCAUGGAACGCCCAGUUGUCUUGUGAUUUAUAAUAAAUGUGUACUUGGCCUUUGUCCCCACUUCUGGCACAGACCUGCGAAAUUGGAAAUUUCCCUUGGAAUUUUCUGUGAUGAGAGCGUUUAAAGGUGUCUUUUGUUGUGUUGAUGGUAACUUCUGAACCACACCUGAGGAUGGAGGCUGGUUGCCAGGAGAGCCCAUCCUGUGAUUAUAAGUUUCAGUUCCACCCCCGACCUCGGGGCAGGGGAGAGGGGAUGGCGAAUGAGUUCAAUCGCCAAUGGCCAAUGAUUUAAUCAGUCGUGCCUACGUCAUGAAGCGGCCAUAAAAGCCCGGAAGGACUGAGUUCAGAGAACUUCCGGGUUGGGGAACAUGGAGGUGCCGGGAGAGUGUUGCACCUGGAGAGGGCAUGGAAGCUCCGUGCUCUUUCCCCACAUCUUGUCCUAUGAAUCUCUUCCUGCUGGUCGUUCCUGAGUUAUAGCUUUUCAUAAUAAACUGGCAAUCUGGACAUUGCUGCCAUGUGACAAGCCCCGCUGAUGCCAUUGAGGAUGUGAGGCCACGUGGAAGGAGAUCCCAACCAUCCAGCCCAAAUUGCCCACUCACAGCAUUGUCGUGUUAGGACCUUGUGCGUUUCCACUUGCUCUGCCUGGCUGGAAUCUCUGCACCCCGGGGAGACCGUAUUGAACCCCAUGACGGCAUCGCUGAGACUGGGCGCCUGUUUUUCCUCCCAAGAAGCCACAGUGCCCACAGCAGUGCAUGAUUUUCAUCUUCCCCAUGGCAGAACAAAUCCACCCUUUAACCUCUUCUGUUUGCAAGGCAGUGGAAGCAGAGGAGGAAGAGAACCUGAACCAUCUGUAAGAAUGUCCUCACACAAAAGCAACGUUUACCAUGUGCUUGGUAUGCGCUGGGCACGGGAUGGAACUGAGUAAGACUGACAUUGCCCCUCCACUCAGGAAACUUCUGGUCUCCUGAGCAGCCCAGCACUGAAGGCGUAACAGUGCUGUGGAGCCCUGUGGGAGCCCACGGAGUAAAGGAACAUUAGGCGGGAUUGGAGGAGGUUUUACAGAGGAAACGGCUUGAGCAAAGGUCAGGAAGCGAGAGAGGACGAGGCUCCUGGAGAAUGGUAAGCAGCUUCAUGUGACUGGGACAUGGACUGCUGAAUGUUGUGGGGAGGAAGGUGGCUGGACAGAUAAUGGAGCCCAGAUCGUGAAGGUUCUUGUAAACCAGCUUUGGUUGUUCCUGGAAGGUUUGAAGUAAGGACACUUCAUUUCUCUGCCUCAACCAUGGCUAAAAUUUAAUCCCCUAUGAGAAAUUCUUCAACAACCAACAAGCCAGCGUUUACUGAGGGUAUGCUUUGUGUAGAGUCUUAUAUUUAGAAAUGAAUAUACAACACUAAACGUGGGACAAGCUUCACUUUUUAGACCUCCCCACCAGCCGUCAACACUCGACAGAAUAUCAAGUCCACAGGCACCUGAGGUGCGUGGUAUUGUGCCAUGUGUUAAGUAUUGAAGGGCACAUGGUCGGCAUCCCAGAAGUGAGUGGGCCUGGAUGUAUAUUGAGCUACCUGGAUAUUCUGAACUUGAGGCCCCUCUUGCCUUUGGCCUCCAUCCAAGUCCUUAGCAGACCUGCUCAUCCUGAGAACUCGGAUUUGCUCGCCCACCCUGCUUAGCUGCUGCUCACCUGCUGACUGCCACAUCUUGAUUGUCACGUUGAACUCUCUCCCUCUAAGACAACGACCCUCAGCUUGAGCAUC